rnacentral:rRNA from 1 species
UACGGGGGGGGCAAGCGUUGUUCGGAAUUACUGGGCGUAAAGGGUGCGCAGGCGGCCAAGUGUGUUAGGCGUGAAAGCCUGGGGCUUAACCCCAGAAUUGCACCUAAAACUACAUGGCUAGAGCAUUGGAGAGGGUAGCGGAAUUCACGGUGUAGCAGUGAAAUGCGUAGAUAUCGUGAGGAACACCAGAGGCGAAGGCGGCUACCUGGACAAUUGCUGACGCUCAGGCACGAAAGCGUGGGGAGCAAAAGGG